GAUCCCUCCGUAGGGUGAACCUGCGGAGGGAUCAUUACUGAGUUUACGCUCUACAACCCUUUGUGAACAUACCUACAACUGUUGCUUCGGCGGGUAGGGUCUCCGCGACCCUCCCGGCCUCCCGCCUCCGGGCGGGUCGGCGCCCGCCGGAGGAUAACCAAACUCUGAUUUAACGACGUUUCUUCUGAGUGGUACAAGCAAAUAAUCAAAACUUUUAACAACGGAUCUCUUGGUUCUGGCAUCGAUGAAGAACGCAGCGAAAUGCGAUAAGUAAUGUGAAUUGCAGAAUUCAGUGAAUCAUCGAAUCUUUGAACGCACAUUGCGCCCGCCAGCAUUCUGGCGGGCAUGCCUGUUCGAGCGUCAUUUCAACCCUCAAGCUCUGCUUGGUGUUGGGGCCCUACAGCCGAUGUAGGCCCUCAAAGGUAGUGGCGGACCCUCCCGGAGCCUCCUUUGCGUAGUAACUUUACGUCUCGCACUGGGAUCCGGAGGGACUCUUGCCGUAAAACCCCCCAAUUUUCCAAAGGUUGACCUCGGAUCAGGUAGGAAUACCCGCUGAACUCAAGCAUAUCAAUAAGCGGAGGAA
rnacentral:rRNA from 1 species